AUUCCAGCUCCAAUAGCGUAUAUUUAAGUUGCUGCAGUUAAAAAGCUCGUAGUCGGUUUUCGGGCGGGUUGCGCCGGUCUGCCUUUGGUAUGCACUGGCGUGACCCGCUUUUCUGUCGGGGACGUGCUGCUGGGCUUCACUGUCCGGCACACGGAGUCGACGCUGUUACCUUGAGUAAAUUGGAGUGUUCAAAGCAGGCAUACGCUCUGAACAUAUUAGCAUGGAAUAACGAUAUAGGACUCUGGCCUAUUCGUUGGUCUGUGGGACCGGAGUAACGACCAAUGGGGGCAGUCGGGGGCAUUCGUAUUUCGUUGUCAGAGGUGAAAUUCUUGGAUUUACGAAAGACGAACUGCUGCGAAAGCGUUUGCCAAGGAUGCUUUCAUCG
rnacentral:rRNA from 1 species